rnacentral:lncRNA from 1 species
CAAGUUAAAAGGAGAUCAUUAGGAUGAAUCUUAAUCUGUUCUGAUUAGUGUCCUUGGAAUAUGAGGAAAUGUAUUUAUGUUUUAGAAUAUAUAUUUUUAUAAAAUGAACUGUGACAAAGACAUUUGUAGUGGAGAAAAGGCUGGCAAAAAUGCUCACACACUCCUGCACUCGAGGUGAAAAAUAAUUACACUUGUGGCCUUUGCAUCUGGCUCAGCUCCAGAACUUGGUAUAUUCACAUCACUGUAAAAUGAGGAAAUCCAGAUGCUUACACCUCGAGGGAAGAGCGAGGAGACGCAGGGGAAGAUAGUGAUCAAAGCCAAGGAGAAAGAUCCCUGAAGGAGCCAGUCCCGCCACGCCCUGGCCAUGGAAUUCUGCCUCCCAGACCGUGAGCAAUACUGUUUGUUGUGUAAGUCGCACAGGCUUUGGUGCUUCAGCAGCAUCACUAGGGGACUAAGACACUGUCAUGUCUUCCACCACACUGGCUACAGCCUGUGCACCUUUCCUGGAGCCAAUGGUUGAAAGGUACUACACAGCAGGGCUGGGAGCGAGCCCGGAGCCUCUCCCCAGAUGCCCAGCCACGAAGCCGACAGAGACCCACAGCUGAAGGUCUCCCCAGAGCAGCACAUGCUCACCCACAUUCUGUCACCUUGGCCAGUUCCUCCCUGGGUUUGGGAGUCCAGCCUGUGCAUUCCUUCUUCGCACAGUGUAGGUCCCUGAGGGUAAGAGGACCACACUUUCUUACUUCCAUCCUUCAGCAGGCAUUUGGUGCAGUGUGGCAGUGCGCAGACCCGGGACUGUCCUAAAGCCAACUCACACUCUCCGUGUGUCAGGCAGAAGGAAUCCUUACAGUGACCUGCUUUGAGGUUGCAAAGUGGGGGCACCAUGGCAUGAACUGACACACUUCUUCAGCUACUGGCAGAGUUCCAACCUCAGAUUUGGGCGACCUGUGUAUUCGUCAGUUCUGAAGAUGGAAGCUAAUGUCUGGAGAGAGCUGAAGUAACCUGGAGAGGAUGUGCAGUGUGGGCAGGGAGGAAGUCUGCAGCCUGAAUCCACAGAUAGUGUCACCUCUGGGCUGUGCAGAAGAAAGAAACAACAGGAGAGAAGGAGGAGCAGUGGUAACAACUGUGGAGUUUCACAUGCCGAGCAAAAAGAGUUUCAUGAAGGAAAGUCAGAAUGGGAAAAUGACCCAUGAAGGGGAUUGCGAGAAAGAAGGAGUUGUGAAAUCCUCAGGUCAUUGGUUACCUUGGAGGGAGUGUUCACAACCACAUGGAUCUGUACAGAGUGCAGAGGUCAGAAAUGGCACAGCCUGUGGCCCUGUUGGGUGGAAAAGGAAGUGAGUUCACUGAGGGCGUGUCUUGAAAGGGAAUGAUGGGACCUCAUAUCUCCCUCUCUCUCUCUCUCUCUCUCUCUCUCUCUCUCUCUCUCUCCCUUUUUCCCUCUCCUACUCCUUCCCCCUUCCUUCCUGGCCACCAUGAGAUGAAGAGUCUUCCUCCACCUCAAGUUUCCACCAUGAUAUGUGAGGUUACCUCAGGGCCAAAGCUACAGAGCCAAGUGACCAUGAACUGAAGCACUGAAAUUGCUUGUUUUGUGUCUUGCCAUUUUAUCUAUCCUUGAGAAUGGUUCAUGUGCAGCUGAGAAAAUAUGUACCCUGCAGCUGUUGGAUGAGAAGUUCUACAAAUGUCUGCUCUUUCUAGGGCAUCUUUAAAACUCGUCUUAUGUUUGGAGCCCUCUCAGGCCUUCCAGGAAAACUUAC